CCUACGGGAGGCAGCAGUGGGGAAUCUUGCGCAAUGGACGAAAGUCUGACGCAGCCACGCCGCGUGAGUGAAGAAGGCCUUCGGGUUGUAAAGCUCUGUCGGAGGGGACAAAAACGUUUAGGGUUAAUAGCCCUAGAUCUUGAUGGUACCCUCAAAGGAAGCACCGGCUAACUUCGUGCCAGCAGCCGCGGUAAUACGAAGGGUGCAAGCGUUGCUCGGAAUUAUUGGGCGUAAAGGGUAGGUAGGUGGUUACGUAUGUCUGAGGUGAAAGCCCCGAGCUUAACUUGGGAAGUGCCUUGGAAACGGCGUAACUAGAGUAUUGGAGAGGUUUGUAGAAUUCCCGGUGUAGCGGUGAAAUGCGUAGAGAUCGGGAGGAAUAUCAGAGGCGAAGGCGACAAACUGGACAAUUACUGACACUAAACUACGAAAGCGUGGGGAGCAAACAGGAUUAGAUACUCUGGUAGUCCACGCUGUAAACGAUGGGUACUAGAGUUCGGGGGAUUGACCCCUCGGACUCGGGAGCUACGACGAUACGUACCCGACCGUCGGAGUACGGUCGCGACGACAAACUACAAUAGAUAGACGCGUGAGACGNGCGACGACGACGACGAGGAGAG
rnacentral:rRNA from 1 species